AGAGAGAGACAUGCGCGCAUAUCAAUAAGCGGAGGAAAAGAAACUAACAAGGAUUCCCUUAGUAACGGCGAGUGAAGCGGGAAGAGCUCAAAUUUGAAAUCUUCAAGGUUUUACCUUGACGAAUUGUAGUUUAAAGAAGUGUUUUCUGCUGAAGUUUUGGUAAAAGUUCUUUGGAAUAGGACAUCAUAGAGGGUGAGAAUCCCGUAUUUGACCAUUAUUUUCAGCUUUGUGAUACACUUUCAAAGAGUCGGAUUGUUUGGGAAUGCAGUCCAAAAUGGGUGGUAAAUUUCAUCUAAAGCUAAAUAUUGGCGAGAGACCGAUAGCGAACAAGUACCGUGAGGGAAAGAUGAAAAGAACUUUGAAAAGAGAGUUAAACAGUACGUGAAAUUGUCAAAAGGGAAGCGUUUGACACCAGUGUUGUUUUCUCGAAAAUCAAUUAAAAAUGGCUCGAUUUUGUAUUGCUUGAGACCUUAAAAGCUCACUGUACAUUUUUCGUGUCUUUUUUAAUGCACUUUUCGUUUAACAAGUCAACAUCAGUUUCUUUUGUUGUAAAAGGGUCAUUGGAAGGUGGCUUUCUUUUCGGAGAAAGUGUUUAUAGCCUUUGGCCUCUGCAAUCGGUAGAGACUGAGGUCUGCAGCGUAGACUCUUCGGGGUUAGAUACAUUUGUGCUAAGUUAUAGCUUUUUAUAGACAACUUGUUGACUAUAAUUAGUCUUGUAGCUUACUCGCUUAUGCUAUUUUACCUACGCUUAGGAUGUUGAAGAUGUAGCACAUCAU
rnacentral:rRNA from 1 species